UACGUAGGGUGCGAGCGUUGUCCGGAAUUAUUGGGCGUAAAGGGCUCGUAGGCGGUCUGUCACGUCGGGAGUGAAAACUCGGGGCUUAACCCCGAGCCUGCUUCCGAUACGGGCAGACUAGAGGUAUGCAGGGGAGAACGGAAUUCCUGGUGUAGCGGUGAAAUGCGCAGAUAUCAGGAGGAACACCGGUGGCGAAGGCGGUUCUCUGGACAGUUCCUGACGCUGAGGCACGAAGGCCAGGGGAGCAAACGGG
rnacentral:rRNA from 1 species